AUUGAACGCUGGCGGCAGGCCUAACACAUGCAAGUCGAACGAGUGGCGGACGGGUGAGUAAUGUCUGGGAAACUCCCCGAUGGAUGGGGAUAACUACUGGAAACGGUAGCUAAUCCCGCAUACCAUAGGAUGUGCCCAGAUGGGAUUAGCUAGUAGGUGGGGUAACGGCUGACCUAGGUGACGAUCCCUAGCUGGUCUGAGAGGAUAACCAGCCACACUCGAACUGAGACACGGGGCAGACUCCAACGGGAAGCAGCAGUGGGGAAUAUUGCGCAAUGGGCGAAAGCGUGAUGCAGCCAUGCCGGGUGGAUGAAGAAGGCCUUAGGGUUGUAAAGUACUAUCAGCGAGGAGGGGUUACUCGCAGAAGAAGCACCGGGUAACUCCGUGCCAGCAGCCGCGUAAUAC
rnacentral:rRNA from 1 species